AGCAUUGUUUGUUGAUAUGUUUGCAGUGGAAUCUGAAAGAAGCUGCAGACAUUCCUUGCCUAAUUGAAUACAUUUAUACUCUCAGUAUCUACUAUGAA
rnacentral:snoRNA from 1 species